ACUCAAAGGAAUUGACGGGGGCCCGCACAAGCAGCGGAGCGUGUGGUUUAAUUCGAUGAUACACGAAGAACCUUACCAGGGUUUGACAUGCAAGUAGUAGUGAAGCGAAAGCGGAACGACCCUUCGGGGAGCUUGCACAGGUGCUGCAUGGCUGUCGUCAGCUCGUGCCGUGAGGUGUUAGGUUAAGUCCUAGAACGAGCGCAGCCCCUAUUGCCAGUUACAAGUGUCUGGCGAGACUGCCGGUCAUAAGCCGGAGGAAGGUGGGGAUGACGUCAAGUCAGCAUGGCCUUUAUAUCCUGGGCUACACACACGCUACAAUGGCUGGUACAAUGGGUAGCUAAACCGCGAGGUGGAGCCAAUCCCACAAAACCAGCCUCAGUUCGGAUUGUAGGCUGCAACCCGCCUACAUGAAGUUGGAGUUGCUAGUAAACGCGCGUCAGCUAUAGUGCGUUGAAUACGUUCCCGGGCCUUGUACACACCGCCCGU
rnacentral:rRNA from 1 species